GACAGAGGAUGCAAGCGUUAUCCGGAAUGAUUGGGCGUAAAGCGUCUGUAGGUGGCUUUUUAAGUCCGCCGUCAAAUCCCAGGGCUCAACCCUGGACAGGCGGUGGAAACUACCAAGCUGGAGUACGGUAGGGGCAGGAGGGAAUUUCCGGUGGAGGCGGUGAAAUGACGUAGAGAUCGGAAAGAACACCAACGGCGAAAGCACUCUGCUGGGCCGACACUGACGUGAGGCGCGAAAGCGUGGGGAGCAAACAGG
rnacentral:rRNA from 1 species